CGCAUAAUUUUAAUUGCCAUUCUUCCUUAGUCGGCAAUAAGUUACUUUUCCAGUAUCUCGCAAUCAGGAUCCUGGCUGCCGCUGUAGCGUAGAGAAAAACCUGACCUUUUGGGAUGUGUGCUGUAAAGAUACCUAAUAAAAAUAAUUCUGGUUUGUUUUUUUAAGAAUGUGUGUUUCAUCAUUAUGGCGAUCACACAGGGUCCCCGGACGUUUGACGGUCUAUAGAUCCCUGUGCCACCACUGUGAUCGCUUCUCCGCUGCCACCAACCCGUUUCUCUCGGGUACACACUGAGUCCAGACAGUUGUUAACAUUAAAAACAAAUAAUCAAGUUUAUUUUAUAAGCAUUAACAAGUUGAUGGUUUCAGAUAAUUUUUCUUGUCAGUUUUUUAAUCUUAGUUUCUUUACCGGCCUAUACCUUUCUAAUACCUUCUAACUGAUUAUCCCAACUGUUUAACUGACUCCUCUUAACAGAUUCUCUCACUCUCUCAAAUCAAACUAGCCCAACCCCCACAGACUUAUCCUCCCUCUCCCUUCUCUAAUUCCAGACCGACUUCUUAACAACUCUAACUCUAACUCCUCCCAUUGGGUUCCUAUUGGUUAAUCAUUUUACACUUAGUUAACCCUUUCCUUAUGACCCAGUAUGAUGUCACACACCUAGGAGGGCAAAUGCCACAAUCAUUUUUUUCAGCUCUUCAUAUAUCAUGUCCCAAAGUAAUUUAAUGGCUUCUCAUUUGAUCCUGGAAUACCCCUAUUUUCCCUGCCAGCACUGCCACUAAGCUUGGGAAAGAGGAUGAGCCGAUGCUUGUCCACAGCAGCAGCAAUGGACCAUCCCUUUGCCUCUCCAGUGGUCAUCACUGCCAGUCUCCUCCCUUGGGCAGCUCAAAGUGGCUGCUGGAGAGUGGGUGAGCAGGAGGAGAGGCUGCCAUCACUGAGAUCCAGCCUUGCAUAAUGCGCCGGCUCUAAGCAAAUCAGUCUCUUAAGCUUAAGCCAAGAAAGAGUAUUCUCUAUAAGAUUGAAUAUCAAUAUACGUAGCAAGACUUUGAUAUUAGACCACUGAAGAAGCCCGGAAAACUAUAUUGGGAAUGUGCUACCUGCAAGCCCCAGUUAGAGAGCCCCAUUGGGGGCAAACAGCGGCCUCUUGAUUACUUGGACUGCCAGGGCGAAACAGGUGCAAAACGUCGGCACCCUGUCUCUAUCUACAACUCUACUAGCAUCUCUCGGUAUCGUGAAUAUCACCGAACUUACCUUUUGUUGGUAUCUUCAUGAACUUAUCUAAAAGACUGAGUUAAGCAUUUGAAAAAUCUAUUGAAACCAGACAUUAUAAGUUCAUUUUAGGCUGGGUAGUUCGCAAGUCUUUGUGGCUUUGUUUAGUGUUUUGUAUUUUUCUCAGAAGGUUGAUAAAAUAUGUAUAAUUAUUGUUCUGUGUAUAUUAAUCGCCAGUGUGUUGCAUGAGUCGCACUACUGGCUCUGAGGUGCAGGCAGAGGGCAUGGCCCCCCUGGGCGGGAAGAAAAGGGGAGCGAAGCACAAGGAGUCUUGAUUAAUUAUUUUUAAAUAAAAAAAUGCUUUGCACAGCCACAUCCAAUCUUGCCCGUUUCUAAAAUUUCUUUACUGGUGUGUGUUUUUGUAAAUCUGCCAAAGAAUAAAAUCAAAUGGGAUGAAGGGGUUUUCUCAAGACAGUGGAAGGUGUGUGUGCUGUGUCUUGUUGGUGUGGUGGUGGCAGCCCUUGCUCUCCUGCGGAGGGGGAGGCCAAAAAUGGGGGGUUGAGGAGGGUCAGUUGUGGGGAGUGAGAAAUGUCCCUAUUUUCAGCUAAGGUAUGUUGGGGGGUAUGCAUUAGGUCCCUUAGGUAUCUUUUUGACUGUGGGCCCUGCUAAACCAAAGCACACUCUACCAAACAAUGCUCCACUUUCCCCAUGAUCCAGUGGCCGAGGUGUGCAUGCAACGUGCCUGAUGUGCACAUGAUCCUUUGCAGAAGCUUCCUCUUUCAUUUCAGUGGGUUGUAGCCAAAUAAUUUCUACUCAGGGGAGACCCACUCAAAUCAAGGGACCUAACAUUUCCAUUGAUCUCCCUGGGUUUGCUCUAGCACCGGAUGCAACCCAAUGCCUGGAUCUACUUUGCUUGCAGAAAAGUCCAGGUUCAACCCCCUGCAUCUUCAGGUAUGGCUAGGAGGAAGAACACAUCCUGAAGCUGAGACUCCAAUACUUUGGCCACCUCAUGAGAAGAGAAGACUCCCUGGAAACAACCCUGAUGUUGGGAACAAGGAGAAGGGGACGACAGAGGACGAGAUGGUUGGACAGUGUUCUCGAAGCUACCGGCAUGAGUUUGACCAAACUGCGGGAGGCAGUGGAAGACAGGAGUGCCUGGCGUGCUCUGGUCCAUGGGGUCACGAAGAGUCGGACACGACUAAACAACAAAAGGAGAGAAUUCUAUCUGAAACCCUGGAAAGCUGAGCUAAGCAGACCUGUGGUCUGACUUUGUAUGUUUCUGAGGUAAGGGAGUUUAGGGGCCAAGCUUCUGGACAUAACUCAAUUCAUGAUAGAGGCAAGUCCUAGAAGUUGAUAGCUGCUGGAUCAUUUGCUAAGCAAAGCCUCUUUCCUAGAAGUCUGUGCCUUUUGGUUCAUUUCACACAGGCAAUAAUUAAUCUUGUAGCAAGCACAAACUGGAAUAGGUCACCCCGACACUGGCACUCAGUUCUGCCAAGGAAUAAGCCUUCAGGGUGGGUGAAGUGUGUUCUUCAUUUGUUGCUGUGGUUUUUUUGUUUUCAUGGUAAUGACUAAAUAUGUAGCAGUUUUACUGUAAUUGUUUUUUGUUUUUAUCUUCUACAUAGCUUUGUGAUUUUAAUGAAAAGUGUCACUAAAAUCAUUCUGAAUAAAUAAAUGAAAGGGUGUACAGGG
rnacentral:lncRNA from 1 species